AGCCACAAGGGAACUCCUACUAUACAUUUGUUGAUUGUUGACUGCUGGUUUUCCCCACCAGAAUGUAAGCUUCAUAAAAGCAAAUCUUUGUUUUGUUUACUGCUGUAUCCCCAGCACUAGAACAAUGCCUGGUGCCCUGUGGGUACUCAGUAAAUGAAUGAUGUGAAACUAGGGAAAAGAUCUGGGCCCAUGACCGGAAAGAGCCUGCCCUGGGAACUCUGCACCAUGUGGUUCAGGGGGUGCCUACCUGAUACCAGAGACAGAGAUGAUCUGGGAAGGGAAACAUCCCUGGAUUCACGGAAACCCUGGGGCAAUGCUGAUCGGAGCCUGUGGGGAGAACUGAGGACAGAGGAAUGACUUAGCAGUUGCCUCCCCAGUCUGGUGGAAGGACAGUCAGCUCCUGCACAGUGUGGGGAGGGCUUUGACGGAGGUGAUACAGGACGUCGUGGAGUCCGGCGGGGUAACCUGACCCAGGUUUCCAAGGAGAGGAGACUGGUGAGCCCGAGGUGUCAGAUAAAGGAUCUCACAGAACCAUCUGUGAGCUAAGCACUGUCAAGAAGGGGGUCUGGGGAGCAGCCUCGUUACUUAUUUACCCCUUCGUCACAAAGCGUAGACGUAAGGAUCCCAGGUGAGCCACCUUCCCCAGGACGUCAGCGCCAACUCGGCGCGGUCGCCCGCUCCAGGAGCAAACGCACCUCCCUGAUGUCAGAGGUGCAGCGGCCUGGACCGCCGCCCAGAGCAGCCAGGCUAUGAUUGGUGGGGGCCUGGGGCCCGCCCCUCACCAGCCAACGCUGCGGUUCUGAUUGGUGGAGAGGCCGCGCAGCCUCGCCCCUCCUGCUAGGCGACCAGGGAGGCUAGCCGCGGGAGGGAGCCAGAGCCGGGCCGGCCCUGGAGCAGCGCAGUCAGGGUCUGGGAAGGAUGGAAGAUCGCCCCGGCCCCCGAAUCUUCCACCUCCGCGGUGGACUGCGGUCCCUAGAGAAAAGGCCUCAGGGCACCGGAAGCUGUGCUUCCCGGGGCAUUGCGGGCCGAGGCUGGGGCGGGCCGGGUCCCCUGGCGCCUGCGUGCAGCCUGCGUGCACCUCGCAGUUCGGGAAACGGUGGCACCCGCACAGUGGUGCAAGCCCAGCGAGGAGCGGGAACCGGAGAGGAGGUUCACAGGCCUUUUCACACCAGUGUCUGGAGCUCUGGGCUGGGGCGAGGCCGGGGUGCUUCCGGGCCUUGACCUCAUCUGCUUUGCAUCCUUAAGCUCUAGCUUGCCCCAGCCCCACCCCUAGUCGUUUCCUUACAAGAGGCGCCAACGGCGGCCAGGCCACCACAGAAUUUUGAGAGCAGGCUGGGCUCCUGACUCUUUGCCCUAUCACUCCCUAUAUCACUCCUGGGGGUCCUGCCAAGCCUAAGAGCAACUCCUUUCAACAGAAGCCUUUUGGAGACAGGUGCUAAGGCCUUCUCCAACACCUGGCCCCAGCCAUUAAUGGGUUAACCACCCCGCCUCCAGCUCAGGCAAGGCACAACCCCUCUGAACCUCACUCCCUAUUUGUGAGGUCAUUCCUAUGUACCUGUUUUCCCUUCUCACCCUCUCUUACAACCGUUUUCAUGCCGAGCAGACCUUACAUUUUUUUUCUGUGUGCAGUUAGGAAGGCUUCCACAGACAAAUCCACCGCCACUUCAGAUUUUGAAGCCUCGAGGGACCAAUGUCCUUGGUGCUUUUAUUUCAUCAGCUGUUUUCUGAGUGCCUGCUCUGUGCCAAGCUCUGUAUUGAGUACUGAAAACCCAGUUGAACCAAACUGACUUUCCAUGAUAUUGAGACUAGUGAGAGAAACAGGAACUUGUGGUAAAGCCGGAAGGGUAUGUACAGUGCAGUGCCACAGGAAAGGGACAAAUGAGGUGCUUCUGAAAUUCUGGGAUGGGUGAAGGGGGUUAGAAGUCCUUUGGAGAGUAUGCAGUAGCUUAUAGGCUGGAUCAGAGGGGACAUUCCCAAUGCAACAGCAGAGAAGGCAGCGUCACACCUCACUCUGCCCAUUCAGUGAACACGGUUCAUUUUGCUUUGGAGGGGAUGGCGGGGUGUGUGUCGGGGUCGGGUUGUGUAGUGUCAUUGUUAAAAGCUGGGGUUUUGGCACAUUUUCUGCGAGACCACAGGCACAUGACCUCUUUGCACCUGUCAAAUGCAGAGACAGUACCUACUUCACAUUCAAGACACUGCAUCGAAGGGCCUGAGCAUCAGGGUCAGCGCCCAGCCAUCAGUUUUGAAGAACAGCCCUCGCAUGUGACGGAGAGUAGGGCCGCCUCGGGUGCCAGGCGUUCCGCUUUCCUCUAGGUGACAGGGCCACACGGACUUUUAAGCAGUAGAGGUUGCUCAAAGGCGCCUGGAAGUGACUGGACCUCGGAGCCAGAGUCCGAAGCCGCUCUCCUAGCUGCUUCUCGCCCACUGCCAUGCAAAUCUGCCUCCCCUCAACCCACAAGCAUUUCAGAACCACGUCUCUAAAAACCAGCCAUCUUUAUCUACUUGGGUGGGUUACAGAGUGAGGAAGGUGGUGUAUUUACAAGUUGGUUUGUCCGGAUAUACUAUAACUUAGUGUCUGUAUUUAAUAUUGACAACCAAAAAAUAUAUAUAAAUAUCUUCCGUCUAUACACAGCA